rnacentral:rRNA from 1 species
GAUCCUGGCUUAGGAUGAACGCUAGCGGCAGGCUUAACACAUGCAAGUCGAGGGGCAACGCGAGUAGCAAUACUUGGCGGCGACCGGCGCAAGGGUGCGUAACGCGUGAGCAACAUGCCCGUAUCAGGGGGAUAAUCCAGGGAAACUUGGUCUAAUACCCCAUAGUAAUUUUGUAAGGCAUCUUAUAAGAUUUAAAGCUUUGGUGGAUACGGAUUGGCUCGCGUGACAUUAGCUGGAUGGUAAGGUAACGGCUUACCAUGGCUAUGAUGUCUAGGGGUUCUGAGAGGAAGGUCCCCCACACUGGAACUGAGACACGGUCCAGACUCCUACGGGAGGCAGCAGUGAGGAAUAUUGGACAAUGGAUGGAAAUCUGAUCCAGCCAUGCCGCGUGAAAGGAAGAAGGUCCUAUGGAUUGUAAACUUCUUUUGUAUGGGAGCAAUAAGGCCUACGAGUAGGUUGAUGAGAGUACCAUACGAAUAAGCACCGGCUAACUCCGUGCCAGCAGCAGC